UGCGUGGCUUAAUCUCACGCUAAUUUGAUUGAUUUAUGGUGGAUGAAUCUUGAAACUCAAGCGUUAGAUAAAAAAUUCAAACCCCAGAGUUUUACACACACACAUACCCGAAACUUACAAUGAAAUUGGAGAUGAAUUAUCCGUAAUAAGCAAACUAUUAAAAGACCAAAGCAUUUCCAAUCACAAAUAUGAGAGAGAGCAUGGUGUUGCUU
rnacentral:lncRNA from 1 species